GCCUUAUUGCUCUUAAAAGAGCAAUUUGGUUGGCUGCACGGCUAUUAGGAUCACACAGGCAGCCUGAAAGCUGUCAGUACAACUGCUUCUCAUCUUUUUUUUUUUUUCACACGGUCCUGACAUCUCUUCUCUUUUUUUCUGCUGGACACACAUUCCUGUUUUUAUCAUUUUCAAUCAAGUGCACGCAGGACGCUGAGGAAUAUUCCCACUGAAAGCAAAGUGGAGAACAGGAAUGAUUUUACAGCUCUUAAAGUGGAAACAGUGCUGACUGCGGGCUGAGGGGAAGGAGCUGGAGCCGUGAGAAAUGUAGCUUGGCUCAGGGCUACAUCAGGGAGCUGCUCCUUCAGCUGCUAAAGAUGGCAAAACACCACCUACCUCCGACUUCUCAAUGAUCAAUGCUACCUUCAGAACCCGGAGGGAAGAGGAUGUGAGAAAUUUUUAUAAAAUUCACUUGUGGAAAUGUUAUCAUCCGAGAAAGUGGACAAAAUUACUAGACUCGAACUUCUCUUCGUUUUGAUGUUAUUCUUCUCAGGACCAACUCUAGGCAAGCUGACCAGGACCCCCUGGAAGGGCAAACCUUGGAAGGGGGGUAAGUGAUAAAAGUUUCCUGUAAAAGAUCUGAAUGGAGCAAGGGGAGCCAAAGGCAACUUAAGAACAGCUAAGGGGAAGGGAGCUGUCUGUUUGAAAUCAGGUUUUUAUUUCAGGAAAAGGGAGCUGUGUGGUAGGUGGCUGAGAGGAAGAGUUUGUCUCUCUCACUGAUAUAAAUACGUGUUUGCAAUUUGGGGGAUGCUGGGCUUGCUGUGCAUUAUAUUAUAGUGGUUGUUUCCAGCAGGGAGACUCUGGAGCCAGAUGCAUGCUGUUUAAGUGCAAGGAGAUGUUUGCUCUCCUUAGGAAGCUGUAUUUAAAGAAAAGAAAAUGAAAUAGAUUUUGAAUAUUCUUGAUUCUCGGCUGAUUUCGUAUAAUGAUCAGAUUGUUGUUUGGAGAAACAGUGCUAAAUCUGGGGCUGACUCUAUCCCCGUUGAUGUGUUAAUAAAGAUAAAUCGUGUUAACUUUAGUAAUAGAGGUAUCUGCUGAA
rnacentral:lncRNA from 1 species